rnacentral:rRNA from 1 species
AGCAGCCGCGGUAAUUCCAGCUCCAAUAGCGUAUAUUAAAGUUGUUGCAGUUAAAAAGCUCGUAGUUGAAUUUCGGGGUCAGCAGGUUGGUCGUGCCAAUGGUAUGCACUGGCCUUGCUGAUUCCUCCCUCUUGAUGAGCCGUAAUGCCAUUAAUUUGGUGUUGCGGGGAAUCAGGACUGUUACUUUGAAAAAAUUAGAGUGUUUAGAGCAGGCAAGCGCUUGAAUACAUUAGCAUGGAAUAAUGAAAUAGGACGUUUGAUCCUAUUUUGUUGGUUUCUAGGAUUGACGUAAUGAUUAAUAGGGAUAGUUGGGGGCAUUAGUAUUCAAUUGUCAGAGGUGAAAUUCUUGGAUUUAUUGAAGACUAACUACUGCGAAAGCAUUUGCCAAGGAUGUUUUCAUUAAUCAAGAACGAAAGUUAGGGGAUCGAAGACGAUCAGAUACCGUCGUAG